AUAAUCAUUGUUAUCAUUGAAUAUGAGAUAUUUAAUCAUCAAAUUAUGUUUAAGUUAUUCUUUUAAUUUAUAUCAGUUUAUCAACAGUUGACAAGAACACAGAAAUUGGAAUUAUUCUGUAAUUAAAUGUUCAAUUGUGAUGGUGAAUGCUGAUAGGUGUCGCUUGUUUAUGAAAUCCCUCCAAAAAAAUGUUGGUGUGAAGACGCUAAAAAUAAAUCAAGGUAACUGGUUUAAGCUUGAAAUGAAGGGCGAUUAAAGUAUGAAUCAACAAAGCUGGUUGAACAAGCUGAAGGAUAAAUUGUGUGCUUCUAAAUAAACCUUCAUUCUUCCCAAAUAUUUCAUUCAAAGUGUAACCGAUAACUUGAUAAGGAAUGAUACUUUCAUCAAGAGGUGAUUCAAUUUUUACUUUACUGUUACUUGUGUGCUUUAUAUCCUGCUAAAGUAAACCUCUUUCUUUUUGUUUAGUUUUCCUAAAUCAAAGUUAAAUUGUUUCCAAUGUGUGCUUUCCGUUAUAUCAAUUUAAGCUCAUCUCUUUCCUUAACCGUUAUUGUUGAAAAGUUAAAAGAUUCACUUGACGGACUGGACUUCAAUGGAAAGGAGAAAAAAAUGAAUCAAAUAAAAAAUUCAAUCAUUUAGCCGGAAGCUUCAGUUGAUUCAGUUCAUAAUAUCAUUUAAUUGAAUGUAAUUGCAGACUCAUUACAAAACGUGUCAAGGGUCAAUCACGUUUAUUUGGAUUUUAAUACUUUAUUUGGAUUAACUCAGUAUCAGAUAUCAAUCAAAUCAUCGUCCGUCAAAUGGAACCAAGCGACUUGAUCAUAUUAAUUAGCGAUGCUUGCUAGGAAAGACAGAAAUUUGUUCAUUCCAUCAAUUCAACUCUACAGUUGAUAAUACAAUGACAUUAAUGGAUGGCUGGAGUGACAGUAAGAAACGAAACAGAAUCAACUGACAAAUCUCCAAAUGAUCAAGCUUAAAGUACUUCAUUAGAGUGUACAGGAGUAAUUAGUAAAUUAAAUGGUAAUGUUGAAGUUGAGCGAUUUGGCUAUUACUUGAUGGAUUAAAUAGGAAAAACCAGUCACAAUAACUAAUUGAACAUCAUGUUUGUUGUGUUGAUUUUCAGAACAAAAAGCAAAAGAAGAAGAAACGAGUCAAUCUCUUGAAUUUUUUUCUCCAUUUACUUAACCUGUAUCUAUUGAUUCAUGAUUUCACCUUCUCAUACCAAAACUAAUCAAGAAAAUAUCCAAUUUUUAUUAUUCCUGUUAGCUUUUUCAACAACCCUGGCUACUUGAAGGUUAUCUAUACAAAAGAAUCCGAAAACAAACAAAGCGAUGAAAAAUGGAUGGCAGGAGCCCUGACCAGGGUACCAAGAAAUGAAACCUAAUGGACAACUAAAGUGUAAACUAGUUUACAAUUGACUAUUGGAAAGAGAUUUGUAAAUAUUUACAAUUGAAAGUUAUAAUUUUUUCAGUAAAUUGAACGAUGAAUGAUUAUCCACUGUAAUCACGUUUAUCAGAUUUGGCUGAGAGUUAUAUCCUCUUACAUCUCAUUUUUUCCUCUACUAAAUCUUCAUCUCUAUCGUCACGUUCCUCAUCACCUUUCAAUUUCAGUUUACAUGGUAAAAUAUUUCAUGUUUUAUGAUUGAAAACAUUCCAUUUCUUACGCCAACAUGUUAUAGCUAGUAAAGUUUAUGAUGAAAAAUUUA